GCCCUCAUGGUGUAGUGGUCAGCACACUCGAUGCUUAUUCGAGAGGUCCAUGGUUCGAAUCCCGACGAGGGCA
rnacentral:tRNA from 1 species